rnacentral:rRNA from 1 species
UACGUAGGGUGCGAGCGUUAAUCGGAUUUACUGGGCGUAAAGCGCGUGUAGGCGGCAGGGCAAGUCUGGUGUGAAAGCCCGGGGCUCAACCCCGGAAGUGCAUUGGAAACUGCUCUGCUUGAGUACCGGAGAGGAAGGGGGAAUUCCCGGUGUAGCGGUGAAAUGCGUAGAUAUCGGGAGGAAUACCAGUGGCGAAGGCGCCCUUCUGGACGGUUACUGACGCUGAGACGCGAAAGCGUGGGGAGCAAACAGG